rnacentral:rRNA from 1 species
UACAGAGGGGGCAAGCGUUGUUCGGAAUUACUGGGCGUAAAGGGCGCGUAGGCGGCCUUCUAAGUCGAACGUGAAAUCCCCGGGCUCAACCCGGGAACUGCGUCCGAUACUGGAAGGCUUGAAUCCGGGAGAGGGAUGUGGAAUUCCAGGUGUAGCGGUGAAAUGCGUAGAUAUCUGGAGGAACACCGGUGGCGAAGGCGACAUCCUGGACCGGUAUUGACGCUGAGGCGCGAAAGCGUGGGGAGCAAACAGA